AACGAACGCUGGCGGCAUGCCUAACACAUGCAAGUCGAACGAAACCUUCGGGUCUAUUGCGCACGGGUGCGUAACGCGGAGGAACCUGCCAUUAGGGUCGGAAUAACUUCCCGAAAGGGGUGCUAAUACCGGAUAAGGUCUUCAUACCAAAGAUUAAACGCCUUUGGAUGGGCCCGCGUUGGAUUAGCUAGUUGGUAGGAUAAAGGCUUACCAAGGCGGCGAUGCAUAGCUUGCCUAAGAGGAUGGUCUGCCACACGGUCACUGAGACACGGUCCAGACUCCUACGGGAGGCAGCGGUAGGGACUCUUCCGGAAGGGGCGAGGGGCUAACUGAGCAACACGGCGAGAGUGCUGAUGGUCUUAGGAUCGUAAAACGCUGAUAUUAGGGGGGUUCAAAUGUGUAAGUAACUAUGCACAUAUUGACAGUACCUAAUCAGAAAGCCACGGCUAACUCCGUG
rnacentral:rRNA from 1 species